AAAGACCAUCACUGAUCUAUGUCUUAUUGCCUGAUUCUCAGCACCUAUACCUGGUACUGAUCUAGGUAUGUAGAGUAUAUCACAUUGUCACCAGUACACGAUGGUCCAUUCGCUUCUUUUGUUCAAUCCUCUUCAGUCUCUUCACCUGGCUGAAGUGCUCAUGAAUAAACUCUGCUGUCAGUAAGGAAAGUGUGGACCCUCGGCACCAGGUGACCUGAUAGGCAUUUCAAAUGCUCAGUCUCACUCACUCCUCCUCGGUGUCCAAAGAGGCUAUCACAGAAUUGUUGUCCCAGGGAAAAGUGGUACAAGGAAAUCUACAGGACAGAUGAAUAUAGGAUGUCACAAUUGAGAGAAGAUAACCUUGGGCAAAACCUGCAGGAGCUGCCCACUUGUAGGAACCGAGGCAAUUCAAUGGAGGAAAAUGACUCAAAAUGGAUUAUGCCCUCUAUAUAGAAUACAAAAUGGUAACAUUUCUAGACUAUAACAUAAGAUGAAAUCUAGG
rnacentral:lncRNA from 1 species